GACGAACGCUGGCGGCGUGCCUAAUACAUGCAAGUAGAACGCACAGUUUAUACCGUAGCUUGCUACACCAUACACUGUGAGUUGCGAACGGGUGAGUAACGCGUAGGUAACCUGCCUGGUAGCGGGUGAUAACUAUUGGAAACGAUAGCUAAUACCGCAUAAUAUUGAUUAUUGCAUGAUAAUUGAUUGAAAGAUGCUAUUGCAUCACUACCAGAUGGACCUGCGUUGUAUUAGCUAGUAGGUGAGGUAACGGCUCACCUAGGCGACGAUACAUAGCCGACCUGAGAGGGUGAUCGGCCACACUGGGACUGAGACACGGCCCAGACUCCUACGGGAGGCAGCAGUAGGGAAUCUUCGGCAAUGGACGAAAGUCUGACCGAGCAACGCCGCGGGAGUGAAGAAGGGUUUCGGAUCGUAAAGCUCUGUUGUAAGAGAAGAACGGGUGUGAGAGUGGAAAGUUCACACUGUGACGGUAUCUUACCAGAAAGGGACGGCUAACUACGUG
rnacentral:rRNA from 1 species